CAACAACACAAAGUAGUUGGACUUAUGCGGAUUAAACCGCGUAGCAAGUAGAACUUGCAUUUGGCUCCUGUAAGGAGAAAAAAAAUG
rnacentral:ncRNA from 1 species